UGUCUCAGUUCGGAUUGGAGUCUGCAACUCGACUCCAUGAAGCUGGAUUCGCUAGUAAUCGCGCAUCAGCCAUGGCGCGGUGAAUACGUUCCCGGGCCUUGUACACACCGCCCGUCAAGCCAUGGAAGCCGGGAGUGCCUGAAGUGUGCAACCGCAAGGAGCGCCCUAAGGUAAAACUGGUGACUGGGGCUAAGUCGUAACAAGGUACC
rnacentral:rRNA from 1 species